ACCUUUCUCCAAACAACGUUGCCACACGCGGAGAGCACGGAGAUUUCUGGGGCUUUGGAGGGAAUCGUGAGCGGGCGGGAGGAGGCCGGGGACCACACAGAGAAUAACUUGUCUGACUACCAGUAUUCUUGGAUGCAGAAGUGCUGAAGAUGAGCACACACACGUACGGAGAAUUUCUGGAGAAUUCAGCUGCUCAGAACAAGAACUGAGAUCCAGAGAGAUGAUGACUUUGCCCAUAGACCAAACAAAGAAAUACAUGUUUCAGUCCUGUGUCCUCCUGCUAUGUGUGUCCGGAAUUGGUGGGUUCUUGGUCUCACUGACUUCAAGAAUGAAGCUGCGGACCCUCGCGGACCGUGUGUGAAUGCCUGCUCUGUGAGCCCUCAGAAUCUACUGGCUGAAUGAGUGCGUGGAGGAAAUGUGCUCAGAGCUGCUGUGUGUCAUCCUGUGUUUGAAGUGCUCCUGCAGCUAUCAUUCAUCCAGUUAAGAAUUUGAAGAAGUGUGUGCACAAAGACGGAGUCUCACUCUGUUGCCCAGGCUGGAGUGCAGUGGCACAAUCUCGGCUCACUGCAACCUCUACCUCCUGGAUUCAAGCGGUUUUCCUGCCUCAGCCUCCAGAGUAACAGGGAUUACAGGCAUACUCCACCUUGCCCUGCUGAUUUUGUAUUUUUAGUAGAGACAAGAGUUUCACCAUGUUGGCCAGGCUGGUCUUGAACUCCUGACCUCAAGUGAUCCACUGCCUCAGCCUCCCAAAGUGCUGGGAUUAUAGGCGUGAGCCACUGCGCCUGGCCAAAUGCUCUACUUUUUAAUCAAUGUUUUCCAAAAUAGGGAUUUUUGCUAUGUGCUUUAGAAAUUAGAGAACAAACGGUGAUAAUAUAUGCUAAACUUAAAAUUAGUAUGCCUCCUUUUAUAGACAACAAGAACUUUGUCACUUCCCAGUUUGUCUUGUCAUUCAGGAGGCUCAGAGCUACGAUCUGUGCCCACUCGUGCUGCCUCUUCUUAACUUUGAUUUCCUGAAGCAGCGAUUUCAUCUCCGUUUCCCCUCAUCACCUGUUCUUUUAACUGUUUAAAAACAGCAUUACAUGUUGUUGCAAGUGGCCUCAAAUUCUUUUUGGUAGAAGGGAAAUUGUAAUCCAUGAGAAGAAAAAAAUUUUCCUAACUAUUCUCAGGUGUGUUUAAGGGCUGCAUUCCAUGAUGCUAUCAGUGCCUUCUUUCAGCUCACAGGAUAUCGGCCAUGUUAAUGAGUCUGAUGUUGCUAGUAUCACAGGCACCGGAAAAUAUGCACAUUAUGCUGGAGCAUUAGAAUGCAACAGAAAGAGCCCUGGGCUUGGAGUAUGCAGAACUGGUUCUUGUUACAACUCCUCUUACUAGUGGGCUGCUAUGGACCUAAAGUGGAGGGCUUUGAAAUUUCCUGCUUAAUUGGGCUGCAUGUCAUUGCUGUCCUUAGAAGUUGCUCUGGGAUGCAGCUCUGGAAGAAAACACAUUGAAUUCAUGAUCAUGGUUAACCUUUGGAGAGAGAGAGGAGACCAGGAUGAAGGAGCCAGUCGAAGAUCCUGUUCAAGUGUACACUGAGCCAGCAGGUUCACCAGAAAGCUAUUGAGCGUUUGCUGGAACACAUUAUGCAGGGUGAAUUUCUUCUGGAAUGUUGCCAAGGAUUUUUUAUGCUUCUGUGGCAGGCAUUUCUUGAACAUUGUCAUUUAGCCAAGCAAAGAAGAUUUUCUUAAAGGAUAGAAAAUGUUUAAAAAUUUUUGUUUGUUUGAAGAUAGGUUAAAUGGCUAUAUGAUCUCAGGAUAAGACAGAGAAAAUCACUUAUUUCUCUAAGUGAUCUGAUUAGGUUAGUGAUGUUUUGCCUUUAAACAGAUUCAUCAUUAUUCCUAAAGUAUUGCUGUAUUAAUACUGUCUUCUAGAAAGUAUCCACCAGUGCCUACUUUUCUUCGAUAUCAUUAGCUGUUUUUCGAAACUGAAUUUGCUCUUCAGAGAUUUCUCAUAUGUUUGCGUAUAAGGAACUACUGGUAAUAGCCAAGAAAAUUUGGAGGUGCAGAGAACAUGCUGAAACAGAAUUUUUCACUUUCAAUUCUAGAACUAUGCCAUAAAAAAAAAGGAAAAUGUAAAAAUGUCUUUAUAUUAGAGCAGAUAUUUUAAAAGUAUUGCAAAUUCAAUGAUAAAUUCUAAGGUUAAAAUUGGACACAUAAAAAAUACAAUAUAUAAAUAUCUCCCCAGAAAUUAUUAUCUAAUGAAUAGUAAAAGCUGACUACAAACCAUGUCAUUUUAACAAGGGUUUAAAUAGUACCAAGAUUCUCAUCAUAUGCUCUGGGAUACCCAGUGAUGUACAAGGGUUCUCUCUAAACAUGGGGAGGAAAAAUUUCAAAUAUAAAGAUUUGAAUCUUGUCUUUGCCAUUCACUAGCUGUGUGAUCUUGGGUAAGUUACCUGGUUUCUCUGAGCUUCAGUGUCAUCUGUAAAACAGGAAUAAUAAUACCUAGCUCAGAGGCGGGUGUGGUGGCUCACGCCUGUAAUCCCAGCACUUUGGGAGGCCAAGGCAGGUGGAUCACUAGGUCAGGAGUUUGAGACCAGCCUGGCCAAGAUGGUGAAAUCCUGUCUCUACUUAAAAAAAAAAAAAAAUAGCCAGGCAUGGUGGCAGGCACCUGUGAUCCCAGCUACUCAGGAGGCUGAGGCAGGAGAAUCGCUUGAACCCGGGAGGCGGAGGUUGCAGUC
ensembl:lncRNA KLF3-AS1 KLF3 antisense RNA 1